UGGGGAAUCUUGCACAAUGGAGGAAACUCUGAUGCAGCGACGCCGCGUGAGCGAUGAAGCCCUUCGGGGUGUAAAGCUCUUUCGACGGGAACGAUAAUGACGGUACCCGAAGAAGAAGCUGCGGCUAACUACGUGCCAGCAGCCGCGGUAAUACGUAGGCAGCAAGCGUUGUUCGGAAUUACUGGGCGUAAAGAGUGUGUAGGCGGUGUUCUAAGUUUGUCGUGAAAUCUCCCGGCUUAACUGGGAGGGUGCGGCGAAAACUGGAAUGCUAGAGGAUGGGAGAGGUAAGCGGAAUUCCUGGUGUAGCGGUGAAAUGCGUAGAUAUCAGGAGGAACACCUGUGGUGUAGACAGCUUACUGGACCAUUUCUGACGCUGAGACACGAAAGCGUGGGUAGCAAACAGGAUUAGAUACCCCCGUAGUCC
rnacentral:rRNA from 1 species